ensembl:lncRNA
AUUAUUGCUAUUACCACUGUCAUUAUUACAAUUUCUAUUAUUACUAUUACUACUAUGUCAUUACUGUCAUUAUUACACUUACUAAUAUUAUAAGGAGUCAUAUCAUGAUUAACAUUUUAAACUUUAAUUGUGUUGUUUAUUGGUCGUUAGAGAAUAGGUUAACAUUCAACGUUUAAAAAACGCAUCAUUUGUCAAAUACUCUACAUUAUUGAAGUGCCUCUAUUCCCGAGCUGCCUAAAACUCCAAAGCCCCUCCUUCCAAAAAGCCCAACGUGCUCCGAUUGGCCAGAUGACUCGUUGCGUUGUGACUGGCCAAAAGCCUUGCGCCUUUCUACAGCAAUUCAGAGCUCCUAAUCAACAUGUCGUCUUUUUUACCGUAUCAGUUCGAGCCCGAUUCAGAAAAUGCGGGAGCAAGGUUGCAAACACGGCACGAGCAGAACGUUUCACAGUGAAAAGUUUUUCGUUUGUAACUCUCUCACCUUUCAGACACGAUGUAAAUUCCGACGCCCCGCCGGCGGGGCGAACUAUGCUGGGCACAGCUUCUGUGUGUAUAUAGGCACUCGUGAUAUACCUUUGGAAAGCUAGGAUUGUUGUGAUUGGAUUGAUAUAAACCGUUUCAAGAUCCAAUCACAACAGCAGCUACAGUCAACAUCUCGGGUCAGACCACCAACAUACAAACAAACAUUUUUAAAAAACCUGAGGCAACUUAGCAAACGUUAGCUAGCAUGUCAGCAGGUUCAGGAAGCUGUCCUCCAUAAAAUGCGCUGUGCACAAGCAAACGUUCGGGUUGUACUGCUCAGGAACCGCGUUAUGAAGAUUGGAAUAAAGAAUUUAUAAUACAGAAAUGUCGACCUUCUGAAAAGUAUGUUCAUUUAUGCACUCGACACUUGGUCGCGUGUCCUUUUGCACGAAUUACUGCAUCAAUGCGGCGUGGCAUGGAGGCAAUCAGCCUGUAGCACUGCUGAGGUGUUAUGGAAGAUGAAUGUUAAUAUUAAUAAUGAAUGUUAAGUUUAUUAUUAUCUAUUAUUAUUACUACAAGUUCAAGUUUUUCUGUUGAUUUUGAAUGAUGUUUUGGAGCGCUGUCUUGUUCCAGGAUACACACACAUUUCGUUAUUAACUCAUUUUAUUUUGUGUAGAUAAACUGUAAAUAAAAUACAGGUACAUUUCCUUUUUUUUUUCCUUCAAAGGAGAUGAAAAUUGUUGCACGUUGAAAUUACAUUAAAGACAAGGUUUAUGUGAUUAUAAUAGGAUAAACAUUGCUAAAAGGUCAUCAUGAUAUCAGAAAACCACAGACUCAUAUAUGCCUUUCAGGUUGACCUUUACGUGUUCUACUGUAAAUGUAAAUGAGCAUCAAACCUCACCAAUACUGUCUGAUAACGCAACCUCACGGCAGGUUUUCACCUUCUCACACCCUCACACCAUCUUUUCUGAGAAACGCUCCAACUUUGAGUGCUGUGUGUGUGCCUCCACAUAAACACAGCUAAUUAUCAGCCUUUCCCUCUGACAGUACCGGAGUCUGUUUGAUGGCGUUAUCGGCGGUAAUUCCUGGUGUAGGUGGGUAUUACUGUAAUUAAGUGUCAAUAGAGACAUGCAAAUUAAUAUGUGAUAAACCAAAAUAGCACUGGCAAGCUGCUAAUCUUCCCCCAUUUCCACCCAGUCGCAUCAAAUCGCACGGAUUUAGAGAUUUUCGACAUUUUUAGUUCAGAUGGGAACAAUUAUCGUGGAGGAUUUCGAGAAUCUCAGAGUGAAAUAGGUCACGCCGGAAGGAGCAUUCAGCUUUCUCUCUCUGCCUCUCUCUGUCUUUCUGGACAAACUCAUGUCAGCCUUCUUGCUGUGAUCUGAUCCUACGUCGUAAGACAUUUCCAGACCGGGUUCCAAGACGAUUUCUUUUCAAGCAUCACAUACAACAUAGCGAGGACGGUCUGUAUCACCCAUAAUGCACCGAGAACGCUCAGUAUGUUCAUUCCUCAUAUGUUCAAUUUUACAUAUUAAAAUACAUUAAGCUCCCUGUAUGUUCCUUCAUAAGAGCUCUGAGUGACACGUUAUUUAACAUGUACGUACACAGGGCCUUCAGAAGGCAUUCGUAACACUUUAUUGAAACGAUUUUUGGAUUUCGGAACAUUUAGAACACUUUGUUUGUUUGAAACGUGUCCGACAUUGGGCCUUCGUGACAUGUUCAUAACACCCCAUUUGAAAAGAUUCAAACCUGGGCCCUCUGUAUACUGUACAUUCAUAACACUUUAUCUAAAGAAUUCAAAAAGGCAAUGGGCCUUUCACGUUCAAAGCAUUUUAUGUGCCUACGUUUGGCCUUCAUAACACAUUCAUAACACAUAGUUUGAAGCAUAGCUAAAUUAAGCCUUCAUUAUAGAGUCGCAUUCAGUGUAUUUAAUGAGUACCUAUAUUGGGGUUUAUGACACAUUUAUAACACUUUAUUUAAAGGCUGCCUACAUUAGGCAUUUAUAACACAUUCAUAACACUUUUUUUUGUAAAGGGUACCUACUUUAGGCCUUCAUAACAUUCAUAACACAUCAUUUGAAGCAUAUCUAAAUUAGGCCUUCAUUAUAGAGUCGCAUUCAGUGUAUUUAAUGAAUACCUAUAUUGGGCCUUUAUAACACAUUCAUAACACUUUAAUUUAAGUAUGCCUACUUUAGGCCUUCAUAACACAUUAUUUAAAGAGUACCUACCUACUUUGUAUCUUAGAAUUUUAUUUAAAGGGUGCCUACUUAAAGGGGCUGUCAUAACACAUUCUGAAAAUAUUAAUAAAGGGAGCAUACAUUGGUGCUGUUAAUAAAGGCAGACUAAUAUUUUGAAAGAUGAAGAUAUAAAAAUACACUGUCUACCAAUAAUAAUAAUAAUAAUAAUAAUAAUAAUAAUAAUAAUAAUAA